AUAUUAGUCAAUGCUCGCAAGAGUGAACUAGCUAACUGAAAUCACAGGAUCCACUAUGUGUGGUGAAUGUAAUAACGUAAGGGAGAAAAAUGAUAUUACCUUACUAUUAGUGUUGUCCAAAACUGGUGCCAGAAGACUCGGUAAGGCCAGAGACGCAAACGUUAGUCGUCCUAAUCAGGCGUAAAGGGUAUGUAGGCUGCUUUAAAAGUUUUAUGUUAAUAGCUAAUGUUUUAAAAUAUAAUUAAUAAUUAAAAAAUAAUUAAAUUUUAUACAAAAAAAUAUAAGAUGAAUUAAAGCUAGGAUCAAAUGGAGGAUAAGUCAAAUAAUACCUAGUGUAGGGUUUAAAUCUGUUGAUGUUAGGUAGAGUACUAACGGUGAAAGCUUUUUAUCUAUAAAUGAUUGACGCUGAGAAACGAAGGUGAGAAUAGGAAAUAGGAUUAGAUACCCAGAUACCUCUCACAGUCAACGAUGAAUGGUGGUUGUUAGUUAGUUUUAUUUAACUGAUAACGAUGUUAACACGAUAACCAUUCCGCCUUGCGAGUACGGUUGCAAAACUGAAACCAAAAA
rnacentral:rRNA from 1 species